GAGAAUGUCAAAGAGCUCCACAACUUACAAAUAGAGCUGCCAUGCUUAGGCUUGUAGCAGACUUUAUUGGAUCAUUGAGAAGAUGGAGGACAAAUACUCUGACAUGAAUGCAAAAUGAGUACUUGUUAAAUAUAAAAAAAAAACAUGUGGUGCUAUUUUGGAUAACCUAACUCUAGAUUUUAUGGGAACUAGAGUAAGUAAAACUGAAAUAGUAGAAAAACAAUUUCUUCAAAGACUACUAUAUUGCAAGUACGUCUCUAUUUCCUUUUCAACAAACUAACAGACAAUUAAGAGAAUGUUCAUUCUCAAUAUGCCAGGUAUAGUAGCAAAAAUGCUUGAAGCAAAGUUUAAAACUGAAGGUCUCAUAAAUUUAUCAAAUUUCAACUUUGCAAAACUUUACCAAAUGACAAUAGAAUUGACUCAAAAUCAUUACAGAAAUCAAAAGCUGAAGAAGCACAUAAAGAAAACUUCUUCAUCCAAAUAUUGCAAUGAAAAGCCUAACAAGUAUAUAUGUCACGACUCAAGAACUUCAUGGAAUCAUGUGGUUGCCAAAGAAAAAUCCAUUGCAAGAAGAAAAAAAUAUUGGAAGCCAUAAAAAGGCAAAAAAAAAUAGUUUGUAAAAAAAAAAUUGAAGUUUCCAAAGAAAUCAGGGAAGUGUUUCAUUUGUGGCAAGAAAGGACAUUAUGUAAAGUGGUGCAAAUUAAAGAAAAUAGCUCCUUUGAAACUUUUGCAAGUGAUUGAAGAUAUGAACUGUCAUAAUGAAUAUUAUACAUGGUUUAAUAUGCCAACACAAGUUAGUUUUGCAGCAAUUGACUUGCAAUCUCAAGAGUCUGAUGCAACCAUGAAUCGAAUGAUUCCGAACCAUCUUCAGAAGAUGAACAAGUCUUUAUACUUUUUGAAGAACAGCAUGUUGAUCUUAUAAAGAAAUCAGGACCAACAUUUAGACCUUAUAUGAAAGUCAUUCUUCAACUCUCGAAUAGUAAACAAAUUGCACUCACUGCCUUAAUUGAUACCGAAGGAAUCUCGUCAAUUAUCCAUAGAAGCUGCCUACCUAGAAGAUACCAUAUGCCAACACAAGCUAGUUUUGCAGUUGCCAAUGUAGACCAAUUCUAUAGCCAUAAGUACACCAAGCCUAUUGAAAUUUUGCCUUUUGGCAAAAAAAUAUAAUUUCUUUGCUCAUGACCAAAUAGUAGAAGAUUUACUACUUGGGAAAGAAUUUUUUAGCCUCAUUGCUCCAUUUACAUUCCAUCCCAAAGGAUUUGGCUACAUAUCAAUCUUAUUGACAACAAGCCUUAUCUCUUUAUGAUACCAUGGGUUGAACAAUAAACCCUCUUUGGGAAGGGUAACAAAGGUAAAAUUCAAAAAGCUUUGGUUUAGAAAUUUAAAUUUCAACACAAAAAACUCCUACAAUGUGUGCAGAUAUUCUAAAUAAAUUAUGAUAUAGAGAAAAAUACUUUGUUUCACUACCAUACGAAGAAUGACGGGUUAUGUCACAUUAAACAGUCUCACAUCCAGGAAUUCCACAUGAUGAAGAACUAUACAAACAAGAAAUUCAAUUAUCAUUGAACCUCAAGCUUAUCAGGCUAUCCAGGUCUCAUUAGACCAGCCCAGCAUUUUAUGUGAAUAAGUAUUUAAAACAAGUAUGUGGAAAAAAAAAUAUUGGUCAUCGACUACAGGAAACUAAAUGAUUCCCUACAAGACAUUAGGUAUCCUAUAUAUAGAAGAACUCAUCUUUUGAAAAAGAUCGUGUAUGCUAAAAUCUAUUCUUAGUUUGAUAUGAAGGCAAUAUUUUGGCAGAUUGUGAUAAAAUAUGAGGAUAAGCGUAAAACAACAUUUGUAGUGCCAUAUAGAUAUUAUGAAUGAAAUGUUAUGCCAUUCAGACUAAAUAAUGCUCUAUUAGAAUUUCAGCACAGAAUUGAUGAAAUCUAUAAACUCAUCUUAGAUUUCUUCCUAGUAUAUAUUGAUGAUGCUUUAAUUUUCAGCAACAAUAAAAAAGAACACGUUGAACAUCUUUUCAAAUUCAAAGAACUGACAUACAUAAAUUGUUUGGCGUUAUCAGAAUCAAUUAUGAAGAUUGCCCUUAAAGAAAUUGGUUUUUCGGAACUUCACAUGAAAGACGGAAAUAUUGCAAAGAAAAUAUAUCAAUUUCCUAAUGAAUUAUCAAGUAGGAAGCAGAUCCAAUAAUUUUUUGGUUUUAUUAGUUAGACAGCAGAUCAUAUCCAAAAUCUUUCAAAGCUGACAAGCUAGAUUUAGAAGUAUCUAAAGAAAUGAACUUUAACAUGGUCAACAAAAGCAACAAAAACUUUAAAAGAAUUAAAGUUAAAAUGUCAAUCACUCCACCAUUAAAGAUUUCUAACAAAGGACAAUUUAUCAUCCAAACAGAUGCUAGUGAUAAUUAUUGCCAAUCACUCUUAAACUCCUCAAUAGAUACUAAUUAACUCAUAGUACUAUUGUCAUAGUACAGUUGACAGAUGUCUAGGGAAGGAACAAACCGCCAUUCAUAUGAUUUGUAAAACAUGACCACAAAAAUAAUGACACUGAUUCAAUGUGCCAUGAUUGUCUUAACGCCAAGAAAGCAUUAGCAGAGAUAUAUGACACUGAACCAAUGUACAAUACUCACAAUCAUCUUUCCUCACAAAUUCAGUCAACACCAGAUCUCCAUUUUAGAUACAAGAUAAAAAAAAUGCUCCUCUACAUAGAGACGAUGAAUCUAAAAUCGAAAUGAAGAAAAAAUAUGCUAAUUGGCUCAGUAAACAUGAUAGAUCACAAGAUAUCCAUCUAUGAGAACCUCAUCAGAUAAAAGAUUUAGAAGACCAGUUUGCAGAACUAGAUAACUGGCUAAAUUAUAAUGAGUGGCCGCAACCAGAGCAGCUACCACAAGAUGUUCCCCCUGCCUGAACCUAUGAAUAAUGAAGAAUUUGAUCAAAGAUUUACAACAUGGGAAAAAGAUUGUCCACAAGCAAAACCAUACAUUGAGUGACCCAAAUAGCAGUUCAGAUUAGGCGGAAGCAGUAAUUGACCGUACCAGCAGAAGCGAUGGUGAAUAAUUAUCAAUAAAUAAGUGACAAAUGUGUGAAGUCACAUAUAGUACUUAAUAAGUAGUGUGAUUAUCUAUAAAGUAGAUUCCUUAGAAAUAAGGAUAUAAUAUAAAAUAAUAGUGAGUCAUAAAGUAAAAUUCCUUUAAGAUAAAAUGUAAUGAUAUGAGUUGUAUAUAUUUCCAAUUAAAUUUUCAUCAACCAUGAGAUUCCAAUACAUGAUAAAAGGCGGCAUUGCUUUCCAUUGACAUUUGACUUAAAAAUAAUUAGACUAUUAUUAAAAACUACAUUACAUAACAGUUUUCAGGUGUAAAAGUGUUUUGCAUUCACAAUCAAUUAAAUUCAAGUAAUAAAAAAGAAAAUGAGUUAGUUUAAUAAAAUGUCUCAAGAAAGUAUACCAAAACUAAGCCAAAAUACUUCAGUCCAUAAUGUCCAUAUUAAAACUAAACAAUAUGUCUUGAAGCAUAAUAUCCUCAUAAUAUAUAAAAUGUUGUAUCCAAUCAAAUGUGUAUACAAUAUAUGGUAUAUGUUAUACACAUGCAUAAUAACAAAAUAUGAGUAAUACAUAAUCUCAUUUAAGUUGCAACUUAUAAUACAAACCAGAACUCCUACCGACUUAGCAAAUAAAAGAGGAUUCUAACAAUCCCAUAUGAGUCACAUGUUCCCUUAACACUUUUGGAGUUAAAGCUUUAGCAAGUAGAUUGGCUAACAUGAGUUCUAUAGGUAUGUACUCUAUUGAUAUAUAAGAUAAAGCAAUUUGCUCUUCUAUAAAUAAGUAUUUAACAUUAAUAUGCUUGAAGCAUAAAGAAGUCCCAGUAUCGUGAUAGAAAGAAAUAGCUCCAGAAUUAUCAUAGUAUAUUUUCAAUGGCCUCUAUACAUUCAACAAAAAAUCUAGCCUUGUGAUAAAAUUAUGUAUCCAUAAAGGUUGAAGUAUAGCCUCAAAACAUGCUAAUAUCCUGCCUCCAUAGUUGAAGAAGUUAUGAGUGUUUGUUUGGCACAUUUCCAUGAUAUGACUUCUCUUAAUAUCAUAAAGAUGUAACCAGAUGUAAAUUUCUUAUCUUCCAAACAUCCUGCUAAAUCAGUAUCAGAAUACCUAACUAUAUUCAAAUAGUUGUAUUGUUGAUACGUCAACGGAAAAUCUUUGAUGGCUUGCAAAUAUCUGAGCACUUUUUUUGUAACCUUCUAAUGUUCAUAUCUAGAAUUGCUCAAGUAUCUCUCAAGUACUCCAAUCGAAAGCAAUAUUAAGGCGAGUACAGACUUGAGCAUACAUCAGGCUACCCAUAACUUAUGCAUACAUGAUUGUUUGCAUUCUACAUUUAUCUAUAUCAUCAACUGGACAUUGAGACUUAGAAAGUUUGUCACCCUUUGAAUUAGUGCUUUUGUAGGAGCACAAAACUCAGAAUACGAUCAAUAUAGGACUUUUGAAACAAUCUUAGAACUGAUUUGGAUCUGUCACCAGGAAUCUUUAUCCUUAAUAUAUAAUAGGCUUCAGCAAAAUCCUUCGUAUCAAAAUUAUAUGACAACAUCUAUUUUGUCCUUAAGCAAGAUAUCAGUGUCAUUAGCGGUGAGCAAUAUGUUAUUUACAUAAAGCACCAAAUUGAUAUAUAUGCUCCCAUUAACCCUCACGUAUAUACAUUCAUCAAUAAUGUUCCUCUUGGAAUCCAUAAGAGAUGGCAAACUCAUAAAAUUUCAAGUACUGCUGUAUGGAUGCCUAUUUAAAUCCAUAAAUGGACCUUUUAAGCUUACCACCAUGUUUUCUUUACCAGGCUCAACAAAAUCAUCAGGUUACACCAUGUACACGUCUUCAAACAAAAUUCCAUUAAAAAAGCAAAAUUUACAUCCAUCUGAUGCAGUUUUAUAUUAGAAUGAGCUAUUAAUGUCAUUAUAAUUUGGAAUGAGUCCAUUAUAAAAACAAGAGAGUAGGUUUCUGUGUAAUCAAUACCUUCUCUCUAAUUGAAUCCCUUAGCCACAAGCCUAGUUGUAUCUUCCUACUUGACCUUUGGCAUUUCUCUUGGUUUUGAAAACUCAUUUGCAACCAAUUGGUUUACAUCCAUCUAGCAAUUCAACUAAAUACCAAGCCCCCUUGUGGUACAUAUAUGUCAUUUCAUCAUAUAUUACGUGUCCAAGAUGAGGAUUUUGAACAACUGAUGGCCUCCUUAAAGGUAACAGGAGCAAAUGAUAAGUCAUCAUCAAAAUCAUGUUUUUUUUAAAUAAACCACAUAAUCAUAAAAAAUUGCAGGUCUCCUAACCCUCUCGGAUCUCCUCAAUUGCACAUUAGCAACAUCAUCCUCUACAGCCAUAGGCUCCAAAUCAUGAUGAGUUUUAGAAUUAACAAAAGAAACAUCAAUAUGUGGUAAUCUCAGUGCAGAGAUCGAAAAAGAUAUGACAGGCAAAACCACAUAUACUUCUCUCAAUAUAAGAUUGUGAGCUCAGAACUUCCACUAUUAUGAUCAUCUUCAAAAUAAAUGGCAUGAUUAAGCUCAAUGAUUCUAGUAGUGUGGGAAAGACAAUAAAAUCUAAAACCCCUUGAGUUUAUUCAACAACCAAUAUAAUGACCACUGAUAGUUUUCGAAUUAAGUUUCUGUGAUUGCAGAUUAUAACGCCUCACUUUUGCUCUACAUCCCCAGAUAUUGAAAAGAAGAAGACUCAGCUUCUUGCCUAACUCUAAUUCAUAAGGAGUUUUGAGCACUAACUUGCUGGAUACAUGAUUCAAAAUGUAAGUUGCGGCUCUUAAGGCUUAGCAUACACCACACCAUGUUAAGAAGGGUACGAUCUCUUUUUUCUGCAAUUCUAUUCUGUUCAAGAGUCACAGGCAUUAUGUACUGAGCUUAUUUUCUAUAUUCCAUAAGAUAUCUAACUAAAGAUCUAGGAUUACACAAAGUUUCAUCAUAUCGCCCAUAGUACUCACCAUCUUUGUCUGAUCUUACUACUUUAAUUUUCCUGUCCUUUUGGAAUUCAAAAUUAACCUUAAAAUCUUGAAAAGCAUAUAAGAAUUUAGACUUUUCAGAAAAAAGUUCAACAUGACUAUCAUAGGAAAAGUCAUCGAUGAACAUGAUGAAGUAUUUAUAACCUCCAAUAGUGACAAGAGUAAACUGCGCACAAAUGUUUGUAUAUGUCAACUCCAAAACCUGUUGACUUUUUUGAGUCCUCUCUUUUUUGUUUUGUUAGUAAGUUUGCCCUUGACACAAUCAACAGAAGUGUCAAAAUCAGAGAAGUCUAGAUUAUGGAGAAUAUAAUCUUUCAUGGGCCUUUCCAUCCUCUAUUUGGAAAUGUGACCUAAUUGUUUAUGUCACAACAUAAAGGAAUUUUCACCAACCCUCACACGAUUAGAGCUAACAACAUUCAUAACAUGAGCAUUGGACGAUGAUUUAGUAGGAGGAAAUAAAUUAAUUAUAUACAAGUCAUCAUAUAAAAUGCCAGAACCAACUAGCUCCGAAUUGCAGAAUAAGUAAAUUUUCUUGUCACUAAAAUGAAAAGUAUAACCACAUUUAUCCAAAAUAGUUAUAGCUAUCAAGUUUCUCCUAAUAUAAGGAAUAUAAGUAGUAUAUAAUAUAUUCAAAAAUUGCUUGUUGCUGGAUAUAAUAUCACAACUAUUAUGCUUUCAACUCUAGCUUUCACUCUAUUGUUUAUGAAUUCCAACCACUAAGUAUUAGAAGGAACAUUGGUAAUGUUAGAUUUAAAGCUCGCAAAAGCUACAUGAAUACCUUUCUUUUCUAGCUAGCUUUGAAUCUCCUGCAUGCAUCUUUCUUUUGCCCAAAUUUCCUAUAAAAAUGGCACUUUUCUUUAAGGCCUUCAGAAGCAUAACAAGAAGUGAUGUUAGAAUUACCACUUGAAGCUUUCUUUCCAAACUUUUACUUCUCCUUAAAAGGCUUGUUACUGCCCUUUGAAAUGCUUUUCUUCACACUUUCACUCUUUUAAGUAUUAGCCAUCAUGGUAGUGUGAGAUUUGCCUUUCUUCAAUGAUUCUUCUUCAUGUACCACAUGAGCAAUUAACUCAUUGAUCUUCCAAGUGUCUCUCUGGGUAUUGUAUUGCCUUCUCAGAUUGCCAAACUGUGGUGGAAGAGAUUCAAGAACUUGGUAGACUAAGUAGUCAUCAAGCAAGUUAACAUCCAUGUCUUUCAACUUCUUAUAGUAACUAGUCAUCUUAAGAAUGUGUUCUCUCACCCUAGAAACAUUAUCAUAAUGGGCAUUGGCAAGCAACCUUAAAUAGUUACAAUUUUCAACCUUGUUUACCUUCUUGAAAUUUCUUCCAACAACUAUCAAGUAAUCUUUAACAUUCUCACAUGCAGAAAUGUUAUCUCUAAUUGUUCUAUCAAUGAUGUAUCUCAUUGUGCCCAGAUAGUGUCUAUUAGAAUCAUCCUAAGCCAUCCAUUCUGCCCUUUCGGCAACAGUGCUCUUAUAUGUGGGCUUGAAUGGUUCCUCCGCUCUCAACGCCAAGUCUUUGUUCAAUAUAGAUAGGUAAAACAUAAUAGACUCACACUAGUCCUCAUAGUUUGUCCCAAUUAGAAUUUUGAUGGAGGCAACUUGAAGAAAAGAAAGAAUAUUUAGAGUUGAGGAAUCAAAAACAAGUAAUAUUAAACACGUGAAAACAAAAUCAUGCUUUAGACAAUGAUUCCUCAUUCUAAGUUUCUUCAAUGACAACACAAUUUGUUAGGUAUCCUUUAAUAAUAUAGAAGUGUUCUAACCCAAAGAUGAAGCAGAUAAGUAAAAUAUAACAUUAACAUUGACCUAUCACCGACAGAGUAAUUAAGUCAUUCAGUAAAGAAUACCCAACAAAUCUCUUUGUCUAUCCAAGCGUCCUACUAAGUUUAUCAUGAUUGAUCCUACGACAAGUAGACAACACUUGCUCUAAAUUGAAGUUUGGCCAUAAAUAUACUUUUAUACAUUAAUAAAUUUGAGACUAAAUAUAUUUUAUACAACACAAUUAAAGUUUUCACUAAGAUAUCAAAUUAAAUAAAAUAUCUAUAUGCCUCAACAAAAUAUAUGAAUAUCAUGCCUAUAACACAAAAGAAUGACGGAUUAUUGUAUAUUAAAAUUUCUAGAAAAUCACAAAAAAUUGUAAAAGUUUUAGACUAAAAUAAAGAAUUUUCUGAACUAAAAAAACUUUUUUUAAUACUAAAACUUUUGGCCCAAAUUGUAAAUAAAAUGAAAAAGUAUCCAGGCCACAACAUAAUUUUCAAAACAUUAGAAACACAAUGAUAUUUUGCCAUAUUUGGAAAUGAUGACUUUCGGCCAAGGACCUUUCUGAAAGAUUUACAAACAUAUUGAGCGACAACAAAAUUUCUGUAGGUAAAUAUUUCCUCAAAAUUGGGCCAUAAAAAAAUUUACAUAAAUAUAAGGAUCCGACGAUAAUUUCACUGUACUUUAUCUUCUUCCUCACGAUGGAGCUCCAGUUAUCUACAAUAAGCUACAGUGAACUUUGUUCCAACAACCCAAUAUUGGCCACCAAAAAUUAUGAAAAAAUCAUAUGUUUACUCCACAAACAUCACCCACAUAUUAUUUAACAACCAUUUACUCAAAUAUGCCCAAAAUUAAAAAAUCCGAUAAAGAAAAAUGUCAUGGGUGAGCCAAAGUUUGAUUCAUCAACAAAAUUCGUCAUGGUUUACAAAGAAAUGUAUAACCAUAAACUCUUAUACCAAUUACUGUAAUAAAUUUGAGUUUUAUGUCCUUAAUCUUGCAUUUCUAAUUAAACACAUGCAUUGAGUAAAAAUUCAAAAUUUACCUUGAUUAGCCAUGAAUCUGAGCUUGUGGACUUGUUAUGAAGAUUCUACAGGUUGCCACUAACUGAAUCCAAACCAUUGCAACUUGUUGCCUUUCCUCAACCCAUGAUAUGAAUGAUUUGCACAGCCACUGCACACACACAAACGGCAGAGAACGAGAGACACUCAUAGCCCAUAUCUAUGAACAGUAAACUUCAAACAGGUUCCAAUCACUUAAGUUUUGUAACCGAAGCUCUCGCAUGUUAAUACAAAAUUACUCAUUUAAUUAUGAGUUAAAAUAAUAUA
rnacentral:lncRNA from 1 species